GCCACGGCAGAGAAGCGGACUUCUCCUUGCUCACGCUCGGUGAAUUCUCUGCAGACCUUGGCAGCGUCCUUCAGCAGGGUGUCCUCUGAACUGGCGCCAUGGUUCACCGGAAAAGGCAUUCGUCCAUCAAGUUCAUAGAGGUGGCCAUCCACGUUGUUAAACAGAAUAAAAUGGAAAUUCACCUUGUCAUCUACCCGACAUUGGCCUUCCUGUGCCACGGCAUCAUGGGCUGCCUGU
rnacentral:misc_RNA from 1 species